rnacentral:rRNA from 1 species
CCUACGGGAGACUGCAGUCGAGAAUCAUUCACAAUGGGGGAAACCCUGAUGGUGCGACGCCGCGUGGGGGAAUGAAGGUCUUCGGAUUGUAAACCCCUGUCAUGUGGGAGCAAAUUAAAAAGAUAGUACCACAAGAGGAAGAGACGGCUAACUCUGUGCCAGCAGCCGCGGUAAUACAGAGGUCUCAAGCGUUGUUCGGAAUCACUGGGCGUAAGGCGUGCGUAGGCUGUUUCGUAAGUCGUGUGUGAAAGGCGCGGGCUCAACCCGCGGACGGCACAUGAUACUGCGAGACUAGAGUAAUGGAGGGGGAACCGGAAUGCUCGGUGUAGCAGGGAAAUGCGUAGAUAUCGAGAGGAACACUCGUGGCGAAGGCGGGUUCCUGGACAUUAACUGACGCUGAGGCACGAAGGCCAGGGGAGCGAAAGGGAUUAGAUACCCUAGUAGUC